rnacentral:lncRNA from 1 species
UGGAAGUUUAAAUUUGGUUUUUUGUUUUGUUUUGGGUAGAAAACGACAGAUGGCGAAAGUUUACCAUCGGCGUCCAUCCGUGCUCCCAUCAUGCUCCGGGGCGCUCCUGUCUAUCUUCCUGACGUCAUAAGCCAUACUGGCAGUUUAGUGAAUGGAAGGCUAGUCGCGGGGAGGACGUUGAGUUGUGUCCACAUUUGGUGUGCUAUUUACUCUAUCCCAUCUUCUGUUGUCGUCCGGUCUUGGGACUAAGGUGGCGACAGCAUGCCAAGGCGCAAGCAAGACAGACCACAACGGAUGAAAUGUAAGUCUUCUUUAUAUAUCUCUCUCGGUCUCCGCUUGGGCUUGACAAGCUGGGGGAUGGUAUGACAGAAUGCGCACACACGUUAAACCUGACAGCUUUCGCUCAACUGCGGCUGACGGUUGCCUGGCAACCGGCAAAACCGAAAAUAUAUUCCCGCGGCCAUACCCGCUUUAAUUUAGACUUUAUUUUCGGCCCGGCGGGAAACCCGUGAAGGGAGGGCCCGAGCCCGUUCUCGGGCCUUUCUUCCGGCCCCCUUUUUUUUCGGGAGAGGGGAACAUAGGGGUGGCCCCACGAGUAAAACGAUGGAGGAUUAGGACCCGCGCCCCGGGGUCGGGUUAAAAGAGAAAACGUCGGCGGACGAGUCGAGGUGACGAUGAUUCAGUUUUGCGGUACCGAAGCGCCACCAGCCAACAACGUCAGACGUCAGCUUCUCUUCAAUCAUCCGCCGGACAGCUGUCACGUGACGUGUCUCCUAGACAACCGGCGCUGGUUUGGCAUGUCUGGCCGAGAAACGUUUGGUUUUGUCUCUUUUCUUCUCGUCCGUAAUCGUUGCCGAACCCGUAAGGUAGUUAUUUAAGCGGUGCGCGUAAUUGCCCCCUCCUUAGCGCGCUCGGCUGGAGCUACCUCUUUCGAAAUGGUUCAAAGUCCAGAUGUCGGUGGAUCUUUUCCUUAAAAUUUAAGAGGUAAUUCCGUCAUCUGGCGCGCUGAUUAUAUCGCACUGUAACGUUAAACGGGUACGCCAGUUUGGCCGCGUCUAUCUCUUAAAAACCGCAUCUUGUAUACACUUUAUUUACUCGGUGACACAAACGGAAUGCCAGUAGCGAUUUAUUUAAAAGGCUCUUCUCAAACCGCUCCGUUCGUGUUAUUGAAAAUUCGUGCGGAAUGUUUCCCGCUGCGGGACAAAGUAUUCACUACUCCGUUCUUUAUUCUGUGCCCAGAUAAAAUAAGUUUGCACUGGCUGCCAACUUAUUCCGGCGGGAGAAACGCGUUUCACUGUAUUUUCUGUUGGAGUUCGACCGCAUUCGCCGUUUAAAAAGAACAAUCCGUCCUUCUAACAGGUUCUUGGCUGACAAAUGCGCCGUAUGUUGGCCCUUAACCAAGACAUUCGUAUUGGCAUCUAUUAAAUCCCAAUUUCUCCAGUUUAUAAACAGCUGCGAGGAUAGCUAGGCUCCGGCUGGGAUGCGCUGCUUUUAAAUUAUCGCUGUUACUAAAAAGGUUCGCGAACCAGAAGCGUGGUGGUGGCGAUCUUAGCGGCGUAACUGGGAUGUCCCGCGCGCAGAUUCAGUCUUUGGGGUUGGCUACGCGCGCCGAGUACGAAAUUGGGUCAAUAAUCACGUGCGGCCCACUUGGCGUAAUUCGAACGAAAGACGCGGGACAGUCGUCGAACUUUCUUUUUUUAUUUUUUGACCAAGAGAUAAAAGGCCAUUAAUCUAUAAUAAGAAGAUAAUCAUCUGGCACGGAUCUAGGACCCAGUAGCCGGGUCUCAUCCUAAAAAUCCCUCGAAUUCGAUCGUCUGGUAAAUUCCCACCAGAAGCAUUUACCGAGCGUCUGUGUAUUGUUACUACUUUCUUAAUUUAGAAGUAGGCAGUUCAAAAAGCCGAGGGCCACCUGCACUCCGGACCACGUGACCUCGGAUCCCCGUCACGUGACUGUGGCCUCCGGCGGUCGGAGUCGUUUUACCGCCUCGGUUAGCCUUUUAAAGCCUUUUUGGCGGCUAGAUUAGUCGAUUAGGUGGGUUUAUCCCAUCUGGGAUGGGAAUUUACAUUUCGAUUAAAUUAGGUACAGUAUAUGUUUACCUCGAUCACCCGCCUUUACGCCAUUAUUUUUAAAUGAGAAAAGCAAAUUUCUUUAGAUGGUCGACGCUAACCCGACGUUAAAAAAAUCUGUUUAAUAAAGCGCAUGCGCGUCGUCUGCUUCAAAUUUGAUUAUCUUAUCCCGAAAAUAAUUUAAUAAGAGCUUAAUUCGUAAAUUUAUAAAUAGGAACGCGAUUUCGCGAAUUAAAUUCUUUAAACGUAAUUAAUUCGCAGCGAAUUUCCGGCUCGACCCCCGACUUUUGACCAAUGAGAAAAAAGAACGAUUGAUCUCCUAUUUUUAAAAGAAAAUCGAACAGACGACACGCGCCCCCAAUCGGAUUGGUCGGUCAACACGAGCGAUUCGAAAAAAAAAAAAAAAUAUUUUAAUCGAAUUUGGCGAGAUGUGCCAAAUUGUUGUCAUUUUAAUCAAACCAGAUCACAAAUAAAAAAAA